CCCGCCUCUCCGCGCGCCCGGGCGGUUGCAGGUCGCGCCUGCUUUGGCCCCGGCGGGUUCGGCAUCCGAGCCUGGCAGGGGCCAAUAGACAGGGCCUCUGGAGUGCAGUGGCGUGAUCUCGGCUCACUACAGCGUCUGCCUAACGUGUUCAAGCGAUCCUCCCACCUCAGCCUGUUGAGCAGCCGGGACCCCAGAAAGUUUCCUACACUACUGAGGUUUAGGGGCACUGUGAAGCAAAAGCCACGCCUCAGAAUCCCAGGCGGAGACUCCGACCUCCUCCCGGGAGGGAAGCCAGUAGCUGAGCACCUGCGGGAGAUUAAAGAGAGGAAUAAGGAGAAACACUGGAAGGCAAGUGGCUGCUCGCUGGAGGAGAUAAUUGGAUGCUGCAAGCGGCAAAGGGCUCGGGAUGCAAAACACCGCAAGAAAUGCGACAAGGGAGGAGCAUUCCCGCAAAGAAAAAACGCACAGGCCGAGAGCAGUGGCUCACGCCUGUAAUUCCAGCACUUUGGGAGGCCGAGGCAGGUGCAUCGCUUGAGGACAGGCGUUCGAGACUAGCCUGGCCAACAUGGUGAAACCCCAUCUCUACUAAAAAUACAAAAAAAAAAAAAAAAAAAAA
rnacentral:lncRNA from 1 species